rnacentral:lncRNA from 1 species
ACUAGGCUGCCUUUUGUGGAUCUAGUUCUUCAACAAGUAUAUCUCCUAAGAGGCCUAUAUAUUUAAAUUGGAGUUGUGAUCGUUUUGUGCUACUGAUGUAUCAAGAGGGGACUGUUUUUUGCUUCACAUAGUGUCAUGCCCUUGAAAACCACUGCUGUGUGAGCUGUGUUUUCCUGCUGUAUGAAGACAUUUGGUUCUGUCAGAGGAUGCCUGUUUGUUCACUAGGUUUGUGUUCUGAGAAAUUCCCCAUGUCAGAAGUCCCUGAAGUUUAUAAUUAACCACAGCAGAGCUCAUGCAC